AUUGAACGCUGGCGGCAGGCCUAACACAUGCAAGUCGAGCGAGCGGCGGACGGGUGAGUAAUGUAUGGGGAUCUGCCCGAUAGAGGGGGAUAACUACUGGAAACGGUGGCUAAUACCGCAUACUAACGGAUGAACCCAUAUGGGAUUAGCUAGUAGGUGGGGUAAAGGCUCACCUAUGUGACGAUCUCUAGCUGGUCGGAGACGAUGUUGAGCCACACUGAGACUGAUACACGGCCCAGAUUCCUACGGGAGGCAGCAGUGGGGAAGAAUGCACAAUGGGCUCAAGCCUGAUGAAGCCAUGCCGCGUGUAUGAAGAAAGCAUUAGAGUUAUAAAGUAAUUUCAGCGGGGAGGCGUUACCCGCAGAGGAAGCACCGGCUUACUCCGUGCCAGAAGCCGCGGUAAUAC
rnacentral:rRNA from 1 species